rnacentral:lncRNA from 1 species
UCGUCCCUCCGCAUAGGCAUAAGUAAAUGUAAUCCCUCGAAUUGAGCUCGUGAGCCUGUGAUGGGUGAUGACCGAGGCUCCGUACUAACCUUAGUAGGUGACAGUAUGGACAAUUCGAGUACCUUUCUAGAACCAAAACCACAUAUAGUGAACCGUACGAGCCACCCAAUUAGAGCCAUGCCGAACCUCCGUCCGUCGAAUAGUCACCAAAAUAAGUACACGGGAGAAACGCCUCUUACCUUUUAUUUCUUUUGCAUUUACACUUAUUUAAUGAAUUGAGUCUGUUUAAUAAAUUGGGC